UAACGCGUGGGCAACCUGCCUUAUACAGGGGGAUAACAGCUGGAAACAGCUGCUAAUACCGCAUAAGCGCACAGUGCUGCAUGGUACAGUGUGAAAAACUGAGGUGGUAUAAGAUGGGCCCGCGUCUGAUUAGCUGGUUGGGAGGGUAACGGCCUACCAAGGCGACGAUCAGUAGCCGGCCUGAGAGGGCGGACGGCCACAUUGGGACUGAGACACGGCCCAGACUCCUACGGAAGGCAGCAG
rnacentral:rRNA from 1 species